UAGGGAAUAUUGGACAAUGGGCGCAAGCCUGAUCCAGCCAUGCCGCGUGAGUGAAGAAGGCCCUCGGGUUGUAAAGCUCUUUUGUCCGGAAAGAAAAGCAUCGGGUUAAUACCCCGGUGUUCUGACGGUACCGGAAGAAUAAGCACCGGCUAACUUCGUGCCAGCAGCCGCGGUAAUACGAAGGGUGCAAGCGUUACUCGGAAUUACUGGGCGUAAAGCGUGCGUAGGUGGUUCGUUAAGUCUGAUGUGAAAGCCCUGGGCUCAACCUGGGAAUGGCAUUGGAAACUGGCGCACUGGAGUGCGGUAGAGGGUAGCGGAAUUCCCGGUGUAGCAGUGAAAUGCGUAGAGAUCGGGAGGAACAUCCGUGGCGAAGGCGGCUACCUGGACCAGCACUGACACUGAGGCACGAAAGCGUGGGGAGCAAACA
rnacentral:rRNA from 1 species